rnacentral:rRNA from 1 species
UACAUGGGGUGCAAACGUUGCUCGGAAUUAUUGGGCGUAAAGCGCACGUAGGCGGUUCGUUAAGUCGGAUGUGAAAGCCCUCGGCUCAACUGAGGAAGUGCACCCGAAACUGGCGAGCUUGAGUACGAAAGAGGAUCGCGGAAUUCCCGGUGUAGAGGUGAAAUUCGUAGAUAUCGGGAGGAACACCGAUGGCGAAGGCGAGCCUUCUGGGCCACACUCGACGCUCAGUGCAACGAAAGGCGUGGGGAGCAAACAGG